GACGAACGCUGGCGGCGUGCUUAACACAUGCAAGUCGAGCGGUAAGGCCCUUUCGGGGGUACACGAGCGGCGAACGGGUGAGUAACACGUGGGUGACCUGCCUUUAGCUCUGGGAUAAGCCUGGGAAACUGGGUCUAAUACCGGAUACGACUCCGCGGUGCAUGCUGGUGGGGUGGAAAGCCUUGUGCGGCUGGAGAUGGGCCCGCGGCCUAUCAGCUUGUUGGUGGGGUGAUGGCCACCAAGGCGACGACGGGUAGCCGGCCUGAGAGGGCGACCGGCCACACUGGGACUGAGACACGGCCCAGACUCCUACGGGAGGCAGCAGGUGGGGAAUCUUGCGCAAUGGGCGAAAGCCUGACGCAGCGACGCCGCGUGAGGGAUGACGGCCU
rnacentral:rRNA from 1 species